GAGCGGCGAACGGGUGAGUAACACGUGAGCAACCUACCCUUCACUUCGGGAUAAGCCUCGGAAACGGGGUCUAAUACCGGAUAUCACUCCUUACUUCAUGGUUUGGGGUUGAAAGUUCUGGCGGUGGGGGAUGGGCUCGCGGCCUAUCAGCUUGUUGGUGGGGUAAUGGCCUACCAAGGCGUCGACGGGUAGCCGGCCUGAGAGGGCGACCGGCCACACUGGGACUGAGACACGGCCCAGACUCCUACGGGAGGCAGCAGUGGGGAAUAUUGCGCAAUGGACGGAAGUCUGACGCAGCAACGCCGCGUGAGGGAUGACGGCCUUCGGGUUGUAAACCUCUUUCAGCAGGGACGAAGCGAGAGUGACGGUACCUGCAGAAGAAGGACCGGCCAACUACGUGCCAGCAGCCGCGGUAAUACGUAGGGUCCGAGCGUUGUCCGGAAUUAUUGGGCGUAAAGGGCUCGUAGGCGGUUCGUCGCGUCGGGAGUGAAAACUCGGAGCUCAACUCCGAGCCUGCUUCCGAUACGGGCAGACUAGAGGUAGGCAGG
rnacentral:rRNA from 1 species